rnacentral:rRNA from 1 species
AAGAAGCACCGGCUAACUUUACGUGCCAGCAGCCGCGGUAAUACCUAGGGUGCGAGCGUUAAUCGGAAUUACUGGGCGUAUAAGGGUGCGCAGGCGGUCUUUAAGUCAGAUGUGAAAUCCCCGGGCUUAACCUGGGAACUGCGUUUGAAACUACAAGACUGAGUGUAGCAGAGGGGGGUGGAAUUCCACGUGUAGCAGUGAAAUGCGUAGAGAUGUGGAAGAACACCGAUGGCGAAGGCAGCCCCCUGGGUUAACACUGACGCUCAGGCACGAAAGCGUGGGGAGCAAAUGCAGGAUUAGAUACCCUGGUAGUCCACGCCCAAACGAUGUCAACUAGUUGUCGGGUCUUUUAUAGAUUUGGUAACGUAGCUAACGCGUGAAGUUGACCGCCUGGGGAAUACGGUCGCAAGAUUAAAACUCAUAAGGAAUUGACGGGGACCCGACAAGCGGUGGAUUAUGUGGAUUAAUUCGAUGCAACGCGAAAAACCUUACCUACCCUUGCAUGUAGUGAAUACUCUAGAGAUAGAGUAGUGCCUUCGGUUAA